GUCUCAGUUCAGAUUGUAGGCUGAAACUCGCCUAUAUGAAGUCGGAAUUGCUAGUAAUCGCGGAUCAGCAUGCCGCGGUGAAUACGUUCCCGGGCCUUGUACACACCGCCCGUCACACCAUGAGAGUCGAUAACACCCGAAGCCUGUAGUCUAACCUUAGGGGGGACGCAGUCGAAGGUGGGAUUGAUAAUUAGGGUGAAGUCGUAACAAGGUACC
rnacentral:rRNA from 1 species